rnacentral:misc_RNA from 1 species
CAGAGUUGCAAAACUCCCAACCAUUGUGAACCUACCUCACCGUUGCUUCGGCGGGUGGCCCGGGGCAACCCAGGCCAGCGCCGGCUCCCUCUCUCGGGGGCCCGGCAAGCCCGUCAGAGGACCGAAACCCUGUAAUUACUGGCCUUCUCUGAGUAACUUAUACAAUAAGUCA